UGUAUUGCUAUAGAAAAGUGGGAGGUUAAGUAGCUUUUUCAUGGAUGGCCAAAUGAGGUUGUGUUUGAAGGUGGGACGUCAGGGAUAUUGAGGUUUGUUGUGAAAUGUGUAGAUUGAUAACUAUUGUGUUUUCAUAUAAUUUGGCUUUUAGCAAGGCCAAUUCUCCGCACCCUCCUCUGUGUGAAAGUUUCAGAUGCGGCGAGGGGGGAAAUUUCGCUCCGUCCCUGAUCCUCCUCUGGAGAUAGUAUCAGGGACGCAGGAGCGAGGGCGUGUCGGUCAGACAGUCUGAUAACUGCUCAGGUCUCUCACUCAACUUAAUAAAGAGAAAUGUCCCACAAAGCAACGUUACAGGACCAAACAACAGUAACGUAGUAACUGUAACUGUCUUUGGAAACUUACAUGAGGAAAAAAAAUACCACAGCUGUACGUGGAGAAGCGUCUGUCCUCCUGUCUGUCCUACCGACUGUCCUACCGACUCUUCCGUUACAUUUCUGUCCGAAAAACAGCGUCUGUCACCGGCGAAAAACGGAGUGUAUGCAAUCAAAAAUCACCGCGACCGCCAGCCCUCCGGACCGAGACAUCAGUUUACUUUCCACCGGAAAGUUUCAGUGACAAAGAGAAACAAAUGUGAAUAAUGAAGCAGAGACUUUACUGGAGGAAAUGAAUAAUGAAUCAAUGAAAGCUGCAUCAAGCAGGAUUGGAUUAUUGGGAAAUAAUGGAAUAUACUAGAUUAACAAAGGUAUGUCUUAUUUGGAAAAGGAUAAAUGAAGUCAGAUGUUCCCACAACUUAUCCAAUACUCAAGUAUUCACACCCCAUUAAAAGUUUUUGUGUUUUAUUGUUUUACAACACUGAAAAAAUACAAAAUACAGGUGACAAGUAUUUAAUAGUAGGAGUAGUACUUAUUAGGACACACCUUAAUCAGCACUAAUGCAACCAACUGGUUUUAGAAGUCACAUUAUUAUUUCAAUAAAUAGUAGUAUAAAUACCCCUGUAUCUAUAGUGUAAAUGCCCCUGUAUCUGUAGUAUAAAUGCCCCUGUAUCGGUAGUAUAAAUACCCCUGUAUCUGUAGUAUAAAUGCCCCUUUAUCUGUAGUAUAAAUACCCCUGUAUCUGUAGUGUAAAUGCCCCUGUAUCUGUAGUGAAAAUGCCCCUGUAUCUGUAGUAUAAAUGCCCCUGUAUCUGUAGUGUAAAUGCCCCUGUAUCUGUAGUGAAAAUGCCCCUGUAUAUGUAGUGUAAAUGCCCCUGUAUCUGUAGUGAAAAUGCCCCUGUAUCUGUAUUAUAAAUGCCCUGUAUCUGUAGUAUAAAUGCCCCUGUAUCUGUGGUGUAAAUGCCCCUGUAUCUGUAGUAUAAAUGCCCCUGUAUCUGUAGUAUAAAUGCCCUGUAUCUGUAGUAUAAAUGUCCCUGUAUCUGUAGUAUAAAUGCCCCUGUAUCUGUAGUAUAAAUGCCCCUGUAUCUGUAGUGUAAAUGCCCCUGUAUCUGCAGUAUAAAUGCCCCUGUAUCUGUAGUAUAAAUGCCCCUGUAUCUGUAGUAUAAAUGUCCCUGUAUCUGUAGUAUAAAUGCCCCUGUAUCGGUAGUAUAAAUACCCCUGUAUCUGUAGUAUAAAUGCCCCUUUAUCUGUAGUGUAAAUGCCCCUGUAUCGGUAGCGUAAAUGCCCCUGUAUCUGUAGUGUAAAUGCCCCUGUAUCUGCAGUAUAAAUGCCCCUGUAUCUGUAGUGAAAAUGCCCCUGUAUCUGUAGUGUAAAUGCCCCUGUAUCUGUAUUAUAAAUGCCCCUGUAUCUGUAGUGUAAAUGUCCCUGUAUCUGUAGUAUAAAUGUCCCUGUAUCUAUAGUGUAAAUGUCCCUGUAUCUGUAGUGUAAAUGUCCCUGUAUCUGUAGUAUAAAUGCCCCUGUAUCUGUAGUAUAAAUGCCCCUGUAUCUGUAGUAUAAAUGCCCCUGUAUCGGUAGUAUAAAUACCCCUGUAUCUGUAGUAUAAAUGCCCCUUUAUCUGUAGUGUAAAUGCCCCUGUAUCGGUAGCGUAAAUACCCCUGUAUCUGUAGUGAAAAUGCCCCUGUAUAUGUAGUGUAAAUGCCCCUGUAUCUGUAGUGAAAAUGCCCCUGUAUCUGUAGUGUAAAUGCCCCUGUAUCUGUAUUAUAAAUGCCCCUGUAUCUGUAGUAUAAAUGCUCCUGUAUCUGUAUUAUAAAUGCCCUGUAUCUGUAGUAUAAAUGCCCCUGUAUCUGUAGUAUAAAUGCCCUGUAUCUGUAGUGUAAAUGCCCCUGUAUCUGUAGUAUAAAUGCCCCUGUAUCUGUAGUGUAAAUGUCCCUGUAUCUGUAUUAUAAAUGCCCCUGUAUCUGUAGUAUAAAUGCUCCUGUAUCUGUAUUAUAAAUGCCCUGUAUCUGUAGUAUAAAUGCCCCUGUAUCUGUAGUAUAAAUGCCCUGUAUCUGUAGUAUAAAUGCCCCUGUAUCUGUAGUAUAAAUGCCCUGUAUCUGUAGUAUAAAUGCCCCUGUAUCUGUAGUAUAAAUGCCCUGUAUCUGUAGUGUAAAUGCCCCUGUAUCUGUAGUGUAAAUGUCCCUGUAUCUGUAGUAUAAAUGCCCGUGCUGUUAUGGUCGUGGGGUUUUGUUGGUUAUUUCCUGUUUGUUUUAUAGUUUGCAUUAAAGAUGUUUUGAGGACGGAUGGUAGCGCUGAACUUAUGUCUAGGAGGCAGUAUCCUCUAAACCUUGACUUUGUAAUUCAAUACCUGUGUGGGUCACAGACUUCUUCCUCGGACUGUCCUGUUUCCGUGCUGCUUAAAU
ensembl:lncRNA